GUUGACCUCGGAUCAGGUAGGAAUACCCGCUGAACUUAAGCAUAUCAAUAAGCGGAGGAAAUC
rnacentral:rRNA from 1 species